CACCGCCCAGACCUUCUCCUUAUCUUGUUUUCCUUUUUAUAUUGUUGUUCUCCCUCCCUGGCCUUGCCUCUCCCUGCUGGGUUCCUUGCCCGAGUUUCUAAUUCAGAGAAGACUGGGUAACUCCCCACAGUGUCUCUGCUAAAGCUUCCCAGGCCCAGUGACUUUUUACUAAAUCCUCGAAGGCCAUCAGGUUCCAGGGCCUGCUGAGGUCUCCAUAAUCACCCCUUGAUUCCAGAAAUGAUCCGAGACUAGAGACUUAUCCCAGCCCAGCCCUACUGCCCAGGUCCUCCGGUGCCUGCCUGGGAGCCUGUUUGUGCACUUUGAUCCCCGGCCUGCCUGCCGGAAAAUCAUCCAGGCUGUGGUUCCUGAUCCCAUCACCUGGCUUUAUCUGAGAUACAAAGCACAAUAUUCACCGAGGGCUGGUGGCCUUCCCUGAGGGUUGGCCUGGAUUAGCAACCUGCACCUGUACCCGCACCUGCACGACAUGUGGCCAGGCCUGUGCUCCGAGGCCAGGUUUCCCUUCCCCCAUCUCUUUCUUUGUCUCCCUCUGUGUUUCUCUCUCUGUCCCAGUCUCUCUCUUCUCCCCACUGCUGGUGGUGAGGAAUUCUCCGCAUGGGAUGUUGGUGCAUCCGUUUUCAAACUUGCUGGCUCAUCCUGAACUGCAUGUGCCCUCCAAGCACCUUUUCCCUGACCUUGUGGAUUCUUUGGGAACAGCUGGGGAAGGGGUACCCUUUAUGGAAAUGAAAACCCCUCUGAGUCCCCACUUGGGAACAGCCACUUGGCUGGGACACAGGCCCAGAUGUUGGGAUGGCCUAAAGGGAGGUCCCUGUUGGAGGGGAGGGCUGUACAAUGUGGGGGCGCCUGGUGGGGAAGGUGAUGGCCAGGCUGAGACCUCCCCUGCCCUGCCUUGACAGAGGCUGCAGCACACUCCCACACACAGACACAUGCACACACAUUCACACAUGGACACCAGCACAGAUAGGUGCUGACUCAUGGAUACAGGUGUGCAGGGACACACACACCCCUACCUAGACACAUGCACACAUGUACAUAUGUUCCCAUAGACACAGAUAUACAUGCACACACACAGGCACACACAUACUAACAGACAUGUACAUACGUAUGCACACAUUCACAUAGAUAUACGUACACACACACACUGACAGACAUGCACACACAUAAACAGGCACACACACAUACUAACAGACAUGUACACAUACAUGCACACAUUCACAUAGACAUACGUACACACAGUCACACACUGUCCAGACAUGCACAUACAAGGCACACACAUACUAACAGACAUGUAUACAUACAUGCACACAUUCACAUAGACAGUCACACAGACAUGUACACACAUGCAUGACACGCACACACAUACUAACAGACAUGUACACAUACAUGCACACAUUCACAUAGACAUACAUACAGUCACAGACAUGUACACACAUGCAUAAUGACACGCACACACAUACUAACAGACAUGUACACAUACAUGCACACAUUCACAUAGAUGUACAUACACAGUCACACACACAGACAUGCAUACAUAGGCACACACAGACAUGUACACAUACGUACACAGUCACACACAGACAUGCACACACAAAGGCACAAAGGCACAUACUAGCAGACAUGUACACAUGCACACAUUCACAUAGACAUAUGUAAACACACAGUCACACACACUGACAGACAUGCACACACAUGCACACAUUCACAUAGACAUACGUACACAGUCAUACACUGACAGACAUGUACACACAUGCAUAAUAUGCACACAUGUACACACAGUCACAUAAAUAGACACAUAUACACACACAGGCACACAUGGAUGCCCAGCCACAUGCAUGCAGACACACACAGACACAUGUGCACCCUCUCACACACUUUUCUCUUUCUACAACUUUGGGGUCAGAAGACCACUGACAGCUGCAGCAG
rnacentral:lncRNA from 1 species